rnacentral:lncRNA from 1 species
UUAGAUCAUAUGAAAGCGAAAGAUGGCUGCGGAUAUUCCCAUUAACAAUACGGGCAAAUGUGGUAGGAUCACUUCUGCAGUGGGAGAAUCCAGUUGUGUGUUCUGCACGAAAUAACAUUGUUAUACCUAAGCUGGUAAGGCUUGGACCAAUUUUGGAGCACACCAACUUUGAUUGUGAGCCGCUGUAUGAUGCAAAUAUAUGAAGAUGAUGAAAAGAAAGUGGGACAUAUUGCUUCUUCAUUGGUAGCUUGUUGUACAGAUAUCCUGGUUGAUAAAAAUAUAUACGAACUGGUCAUUUUCUAUACUGUACUGGAUAUACAUUUAUAGGGGAUAUCUAUACAUUCUCUGGCAAAACACUUAUACAGAACGAGCCCGAAUGUUUGCAAGCUUUACCCUUCAACUCUAUUUGGUCAUUUCUUAUCUAAUUUCUUGUGCAUUUUUUAGUUCUUCAUAUUAGCUUCAGAUAUGUUUCUUCUGAAGUAAGUUCCAUAAAUCAGUGCCCUCAGUCAUAAAUAAAUAGUUACUAUGCAAUCAGAAUCUCAUAAUUUUCAUUCACAAAAAGUACAAGCAAGUUGCCAUUAUCAAAAGUGAGCUUUCUUCAGGAAUUCUUUUAUAAAAUGUGAAGCUCCAAGAAAUAAAUUUUUUAGGAAAAUUCAUGCCUAAACUACUAAAUGAUUGAGGCAUAUGCUUAAUACUCACACAAGAUGAUGAUACCUGUGAGAAUAACAAAAUGUGAUGUAUGGCACAAGUCCAAGAUCCCGGGUGAACUCUGCAGUUCUAAAUUUUUUAACAAACAGCUCCAUGAAGGGAUGUUGCUAUAGAUCUUCAAGUUCUUGAUUCUGCCAACAAUUUUACAAUCAUGUUAGUCGCGGAAUUGACUAAUAUAACCUCAUUGCAGAACAUCAGCAUCAAAGAAUGUAUAUCAUGCUUGUAAAACACUCAUAUCAUGGGGGCAGAUAAUGCCAAUACAUAUCUUCUCCCCUCAGUCGUCUUUUUGGCUAAUUGCAGACAUUAUUGCUGAAAAAAUAUUUGCUAGUAAUGAGAGCAUCUUAAUCCCUAUAUCACUAUUUGAAAUCAUAGUUAAACAACCAAAAGAAGGCAUUAAAGUGCAAUCAAUCCCAGGCUGCAAACACAAAAUUCAACUUGCUAUAACCGAGAACCUUCUACCAAAAAAUCAGCACAGACAACUUCGUGUAAUGCAAAAUGCAUCACUACCCCUAGCUGUUAAGCCAAUGAGAACAUGCACCAUGGAAGACAGAGGAAUACCUCUGAUCAUUUCAAACCAGGCUAACAUUGACCACCAAAGAUGAUAGCAAAUAGCACGAGAGAUUCAUGCACCAGACAAGCAGAGGAUUCUUCAAACAUAAUAUGCGACUUCCUUAAAGAAGUAGGGUUGAGAGAAAGAAAGAUCGAGCAUCCUAUAAGGCCAAAUAAAUUUCUCAAGUUGAAGACUUUAC